UACGUAGGGGGCAAGCGUUGUCCGGAAUCAUUGGGCGUAAAGCGCGCGUAGGCGGCCCGGUAAGUCCGUUGUGAAAGUCAAAGGCUCAACCUUUGAACGCCGAUGGAUACUGCCGGGCUAGAGUCCGGAAGAGGCGAGUGGAAUUCCUGGUGUAGCGGUGGAAUGCGCAGAUAUCAGGAGGAACACCCGUGGCUAAGGCGGCUCUCUAGUACGGUACUGACGCUGAGACGCGAAAGCGUGGGGAGCGAACAGG
rnacentral:rRNA from 1 species